ensembl:lncRNA
CUAAUCAUCUACACUGACAGAUUAUGAGGUCAAUUAAAACCAGGAUGUGUCUCGGUGAAGAACUUUUUACUGCCUCCAAUUUGGUUCUUAAUGGCAACUGACAGAACAACAAAACGGUAAGGGAUGAUGUCUUUAUAGCUACUGUUAUGCUGAUGUUGAUAAUGAUGGUAAUAAGACCAACCAGGCCUACAUGACCUGGUGUUGUCAGGCUAAUUCUUGUGUUACUCCUAGCAAUGGAAAGUAGAGAAUAGCCACUCAAAAUUUAAAUUGCGGUCUGGUUAGAAUUCAUGUUUAUUCAUGUAUAAAAGCUCGGAAUCAAUACGCAAACACUGCCGAAACGGCGAAAUGAAAGUGGACGGGGGUGCGAAUUAAAUUGGUGCUCCUGGUUGUCUUUUUCUCACAAUCCAUUUUCGAGGGUUCCCUAGAUGGAGAGUGUGAGUCUAAUUAUUGCCCUCCAUGCAAUUAGCGACCAGAAGCCAUUGGCAUGGAAACCUGGGGAGGAGGGGGACACAACACCACUUGUCUUUGACACCUCGGAUCCAACUGUGAUAUCUCUCACUUUAGGCUUGUACAAUUGCGUUACUCCAAGUCGUCACUGUAGCAGCCUGCUGUAUAUAUCUGAUAUUAUAUAGUAGUUUAGGCCUAGUCUUGAUUCUCUAAUGUUACCAGACCGUUGUGUCCGUUAAACUACUCGGCCUAAACGUUGGCGCCAAAAUAAUAACUCACUGACACCUACAGUACUGUAUGUAACGUUCAGGGUCUAUAUGGGUCUGUUCUUCUCUACAGCUGUUCCCGUGUUGCUUACAGAUCUGCUCCCCCCUCGAUAAGCAAACACCAGGCUUGAAUCACCCCCCGACAGAAACCUCAUUACUGAGUGCCUUUGAAUUCUGCAUUACCCCUUCUAAUUUUGUUUAUAAGAGUGAGAUUACUUCCACACUUUAUUUUAAGCGGCUUUGGAAAGUUGAUAGUUCUCAAGAGUCGAGAACCCAGUGAUAACUGGCCGCAGUACACACAUUUUUAUUCCUGCGGUAAAUACCUCGACCAUUAAACAUCAACACAGUCAUCAAGAUUAGUGUUUCGGGGGGCGACAGUGUAACAGCGCAUUUGACUCACAGACCAACCGUCUCUUCCGAAUUAUUCCACUGAUACUGACGCAGUCUUUUGUGCGCAAUUAUGUUCCCUGAAGAUGCGUGACAAGUAGCACGUCAAUGAAUUAAAUUAUUGGCCCAGCCCAACAACUACUCGGUGGACAUCUUGUUUUCUCCUCUCCACAGGUACAAACGGCUCUUCCCGUGAUUGAUGGUUGUUUUAAUUUGGUUGAUUUUUUUUUUUUUUUUUACAAUGUGAUUUACAACUUGGGUGGUCUGACCAAAUGAUUGUCCUUUCCAGAACAUGCAAAAAGCAGAAAACAGACAGAUCAUGGAGAGACAAGAUGGGGCAGAGGGAGUAACACACACACACACCACUGGAUAAAUGUACUUUACCACUUGUCUUUGUGACCCAGUGUCAACACUGGUAGUGUCACUGCCACUGACUCCCACACCUCACAUACACCGCCACCAUCCGUAUCAACCCUACUGUCCUACCAUCAACCCCCACACCAGAGUGUGGGACCCCCAGUGAGAAAUCCUCCUCCUCCUACAGACAGCCCGGGCCCAGCCCCAAACCUGUGGGGGUUGUGUAGCUGAGAGGAAGCCCAGCGUCCUGGGGAGAAAGUCAACUACUGGGUCACAAUCACACUGAUGAGAAAGUCACAGAGUUCCUCAGAGAUGAGAAAUUAGUCAUGGAAAUAGUCAUCCAAAGAUCAAACUCAUCCCAAAUGGUUUUCUCCUAUCAUAAAGCAGAAGAAUGGCCCUUCCAUCUCACAAGUUUAUCCCAAAUUUGUCACACAGUGUCAUCACCAACCUUAUAAAAACCUAUUUGUAAUGUGACGUGGUAGUAGUUUGCUCCUAUCACCAGCAGGGAGAGGCCCAUCAUUGUACAAGGUACUAUAAUCUGUCCUCCACAUGUUACUCUGCCCCAGCCCCCUUCCCUCUUGCCCAGGAUGGCAAGCUGCUCCUGGGCUGAAGCCUAGACCUGGGCCUGCUUCGGCCAAGGAGGCCAGAGUGGAGCAGGACGACCCAAAACUGGACACCAGCCCAGAGUGAGAAUCUGACACCGCCAGCUCCUCAAACUUCUGGAUGACCGCCCGUACAGACUGGAAGGGCACGUCUCUGCGCCAGCGACCCCCACCAGUGGACGCGGCGGACGCUCGGCUGAGGAAGAUGUGGGGUAGAGGGGGUAGGCCACAGCGGAGCCUCAGCCUGCCCUGGCCCAGCCCCAGAGCGGGACGCACCCCAGCGUUGCUGAAGCGAGUGGGCAGUAAGGGCUCCCGACGGCUAUCGUACACAGUGGAGAAGGACAAGCCCCGCCUUUCAAGCCACCAGCCGCAAGCAUCGUCCAAUGAGCUCACUCCU